rnacentral:rRNA from 1 species
AUUGAACGCUGGCGGCAGGCCUAACACAUGCAAGUCGAACGAGUGGCGGAAGGGUGAGUAAUGUCUGGGAAACUGCACGAUGGAGGGGGAUAACUACUGGGAACGGUAGCUAAUAACGCAUACCAUCGGAUGAGCCCAUAUGGGAUUAGCUAGUGGGUGGGGUAAAGGCUCACCUGGGCGACGAUCCCUAGCUGGUCUGAGAGGAUGAGCAGCCACACUGGAACUGAGACACGGUCCAGACUCCUACGGGAGGCAGCAGUGGGGAAUAUUGCACAAUGGGCGCAAGCCUGAUGCAGCCAUGCCGCGUGUAUGAAGAAGGCCUUCGGGUUGUAAAGUACUUUCAGCGAGGAGGCGUUACUCGCAGAAGAAGCACCGGCUAACUCCGUGCCAGCAGCCGCGGUAAUUC